rnacentral:lncRNA from 1 species
CCUCAGGCCCAAGGGAAGAUGAUUCAGCUUUGACAGCCGCCUUCUUUAUAGUCGAUCGGAGUCUAGGGUUUUUUUUUUCUUUCCUUAAUUUCCAAUCCAUGUCCUUUAUUUUGGCUCAUCCUUAUCUUUCCAAAAUGAUUUUCUCAUGAUUUUCGAGCCUUGGAUUAUGGCAGAAAGGAUAUCUUCUCAUAUUUUAAAAAGCCUGCAUUUUUCUUUAAGUGUACUGCAAGUUGAUGUGCAAGCCUAGGGAAAAGUUUGUUUCCAUUGCACACGAACCUUUUUAAUUUAACGGUCACCUUGGCCUUGGCCAAGGCUUAGUGGAUCAUAACUUGUGUCCCAUCCUACUGCCUUGCCCAAGAAACCGUGCUUAAGGAUUGGUUUUGUUUUCCAUUUAUGCUUAAAUGUAUCCCUUGGGCAAGGGUGUGUACAGGGGCCAAUACAUGCUGUAGCUGUUGUGUCUUAGCCUUGCCCAAGGCUAAGACCAUGACAUAUGGUAGUUUUACAAUUCUCGCCCUUGCUUCCUAUUGUACUUCCUGGCUUUAAGUUCUAACUCCUGUCCUGCAUCAAAAUGGAUAAAAUAACUUGAUCAAGCAACAAAUAAUUCAUUUUAAACACAUAAAAGUAGGUGACAAGGGUGUUGUUUUUAUACCAUAUCAAACUCCCCCACAUUUAUCUUGUGCUUGCCCUCAAGCACCAGACAAUACACACCACCAAUUCUUAUCUCCUCACC